rnacentral:rRNA from 1 species
GACGUAGGGCGCGAGCGUUGUCCGGAUUUAUUGGGCGUAAAGAGCUCGUAGGCGGCUUGUCGCGUCGUCCGUGAAAACCUGCGGCUCAACUGCAGGCUGGCGGUCGAUACGGGCAGGCUGGAGUUCGGUAGGGGAGACUGGAAUUCAUGGUGUAGCAGUGAAAUGCGUAGAGAUCAUGAGGAAGACCAGUGGCGAAGGCGGGUCUCUGGACAGUUCCUGACACUGAGGCACGAAGGCCAGGGGAGCAAACGGG